UUUUUCUCUUGUUGCCCAGACUGGAGGCAAUGGCAUGAUCUCAGCUCACCGCAACCUCCUCCUCCUCGGUUCAAGCAACUCUCCUGCCUCAGCCUCCUAAGUAGUGUUGAGACUUAUUCAGCCAAACAUGUAAGAUGAUAUUGCUUGUGGAAAAGUGCCGUUGAAACAGUUACUGGUUUUGUUGUGUGCACACGGAGUUAAUGGCAUAACAUGGAUAAUUCAAAAUCAGAGACCCUGAGUCUGUUUUCUUUGGUUUCUCUGCGACCUUGAUUUCUCUUACUCUACUGAACUGAUUGAUUGAUUGAAGACCUUGUCACAUACCAAGAGAACAGUUCUCCAUGGAGUUGUAUCUGAUUCUGAGGUUCCUACUUGGCAAAAAAUAUAUACAGCCCUGCUCUGUCUGGGGCACACCUCCAUUGGAUUUAAAAGACAGUCCUCAUCAGCACUGACUUCCAGCUAUAGAAUUGGAUAAAGAUAAAGUUUUCUAACCAAGACCCCAAAACCUGGAGCGUGGCAAUGGUGGGAAGGAGGUAAGGGAAUGAGCCAGCAAGCGGAAUCUGCCCUUCACUGCCAGCGCCAAUGGGGAGCAGAAGGACUCUGACACAGGAAUGGAGUCAGAAGAGUAUUUUCCAGCCACCACCUCAUGUCUCAAAAUGCCUCAUUGUCCAGUGGGACCUGACCACAUGGAAAGCCUGAAGAGGUCUAAGGUCCAGAAUUGUAGUGGUUUAUCACAAGCGGCUUUUUUCCCAACACCUGGCCAGCUCUGCCUGUAUCAUUUUCCUCUGCUUAGGCAGGCUGACAGCUCUUACAGCUGGGAGCCUGAGCCUGCCUCACUAAUGUGCAUGUGCUAGUCUCAGGACACCAGACCUGAGCUGUGAGCUCUGACUAGCAUCAAAAUGAAUUCCACCAUUGCCUAGGGACAAGACCCUGUGGCUUGGCAGAGAAGGAGACCACCACGGAGGUGCCUUGGUGGUGGACUCUUGCCUGUCUUCUCUGUGCCUAUCUUCACGGGAUAGUUCCAUGAACCUAGGAGAGGACAGAUGUAAACCAGCCUGAAGAAACAUCAAUCAGAGCUCCAGGAAUAAACUGUUAAAUCCCUAAGGAUUCAAAAGGAUUCAAAAGGAUCAUCAGCCCUGCUUAGAUGUUGUUGGCAUGUGUGUUUUGAAACUUACACCACUGUGAUUUCCAGAUAUUCCUGUAUUCUCCACAGUUGAUUUCUCACAGGUGGAGUUUCCUGAAGAACCACACAGACUCAGAAUCUGCCAGGCUGUGUGUUUCUGUGGGAGUGUUAUGAGUGUUGUAUGUCUGCAUGUGUGUGUGGCUGUGGUGAGUGUGUGAGUGUCUUUUUUUGUUUCGGUAAGUGGAAUCUGCUUAAAGGAAUGUGGCUAAUGCACUGCAGCUCUUCCUUUUAUUGAUUAUCCCAACCAUUUGGUUGCCUGUCUGUGUGGCUCUCCUUGGGUUGUGAGUCACUGUGUUCUUUAUAUUUCUGUGGAUCAUGAAUUUGCAGUGAAUUGGUAGGCUGGCUGAGACCCAUCAAAACCAAAUCACCUCCCUCUGCAAAAAAAGCCACUCUGCUAGAAAGAACAGGAGCACAUCACACUGAAGAACAUACAUCUCCCAGUGUUUCUUGUCCUGUAGCCAGCCCAGGGAGAGACACUAGCAGUCCUGUCUGCAGGGCCCCUUGAAUUUACCUCAAAUUCAGUUCAAACUUGAGCAGGUGCUUCUCUUCAUGAAGGGGCACUCCUCUAUUUUCUUGAGAUUUAAUUCUGGGACAGAGAGUGUGAGCAGCAAUUGUCAGAUGGGGGUGAGGAUACAAUGUAGUUAGGGGUGGAUGGGGUCCUGCACCUUAACCUGCAAAAAAGGUGAAGACAGAUGACACAGAACAUGCAUCCAACUGCAUCCCCACAUUUUAUUAAUUGAAUGAGCAGUCCACACCAUGUCCUGGUGCUCAGGUAGGAGUAUUCCAAAGUGCAAGGAACAUUUGGACUGUAAACUGGGUCCAUCCUGCAAACUGCCGAUUUGAGGACUUUCAUACCUGGAGCCAAAUGUGAGUAUGAUGCAUUAAUGCUGGGUGGGAUGUGACCUCCACACUUCCUUCUUCCUUUCCUGACUUCCACGUUCCUUGUUGGCUUAGGGUUUCCUGAGUCUCACUCAGCGUCUUCCACACUAAACGUUUCCCACUUCACGGAGGACUAUGGUCAUCGGAAGGAUAUUACGUGAAUGUUUCCUUCUGAACACUGUCACGUUUUAAUGAUUGGGCAGCUGUGAUAAUUUGAAAAAAAUAAAUUCCUGUUACAGCCACCAACAAGGAAACUUUGUUCUCUCAUUUCUAUCAGAGGGCUGCAUGAUUCUGGUAGGAUGAGAAGUAGGCAGCAAUGUCUGGCUUUUGCCUGAUAAUCUAGGCUCUGUUUCAUUUCAUCUGCGUGACCGUUCUCAUUGUGGAGGGGGUCUUUCAUUGGGCUGUUGCUUGAUGGGAGUGCCUCUCACCACAGAUGAUUUGGCUGCCAGAAAUUUUAGGGAGCAAAAGAGAAUUCAGGUAGACUAGCUGUUCUCCACGUUGUAGGUCUUGUUGUGGGGGCUGAGGUUAUUUGCACUUUGUAGGGGCUUUUGGGUCCUCUAACAGGAAUUUUUGAAUGUUCUUGGACUUGGGCACAAGUAAUCUUGUUCUAACAGGUGCACCUAGACUUUGCUUUCAUGGGGUGUUCACGGUGCCCCUCAACAGCACUAUUGCACACCAUUUUCAUGCUUUCAAUCACCAAAGACAGCCUCUAAGACACUGCCUCAACCUCAUCUGCACCAGUAAGCACCCAGUUUUAUGUUUGAGAACAAUGCUCCACUUUGGACUUGCCUUUGUCGUGGCUUCUGCCUUUCCCACAGAGCCUCUGUGAGGCCCAGGAUGAAGGGAGGCAGUGAGGUCAAGGGCCCAGUCAUCUUUUGCUGACACAUGCCUCUGGGGUCUCAGGCAUGACUCUAUCACCCAAAGACCCCUCUCACCAGACUAUAUUCUAAUUUCCAUGAGAUCCAAUUCUUGCACACAGCCUGUUUCGGGAAUGAAGUCAGAAGAUCUGUUUCCAGCGAACACCUCAUAGUCUCAAAAUGCCUCUUCCUUUCAGGAGUCCUGACCACAAAGAUGGCUGAAAGAGGCUCUAAGGUCAACACUGUUAGGGUCCCAGAGUGUGGGUUAUCACAGGCAAUAUCUUUCCUGAUACAAAACAGGCUCUAACUGUACCAUUUUCCUCUGCUUAGGCAGGUUGACAGCUUUGACACUGGGGAGCCCAAGCCUGCCUCACAAAUGCACAUGAGCUAGCCUCAGGGCACCAGGCCUGAUCUCUGAGCUCUGGCUAGAGCCACAGUGAAUGCCACCAUUGCCUAGCGACAAGACCCUGAGACUUGAUGGAGAAGGAGAUCUCUAUGGAGGUGCAUCAGCGGUGGACUCUCUCCUGUCUUCUCUGUGGGAUCCAAGGCAUAAUCCCAUAAUCCUAGGAGAGGGCAGACGUGAACUAGCCUGAAGAAACAUCAAGCAGAGCCCCAAAAUAGACUGCAAAAUUCCUAAGGAUCCAAAAGUAUCUGCAAGAUGCAUCAGGCCUGCCUAGACACUGGUGUGAGUCUUUUUGAAACUCUCACCACUGUGAAUUCUAGGUACAGUCUGCCCAUGUUCCCCAGGAUUGCUUUCUUUCAGAUCUGGCUUCCUGCAGCACCAUGCAGUCUCAGAAGCUGCUGGGCUGUGUGUUUAUGUGAGAGUGUUGUGAGUGUUGAAUAUCUGCGUAUGUGUAAGUAUGAGGCUUUGUGAGUGUGUGUGCCUGUAAGUGAAGUCUGCUUAAAGAAAUGUGACCAACGCACUACAGUGCUUCUUUCUCUUUUCCUUUUUCUUUUUUUUUUUUAAAUUUUUUUGAGUCUCCCAACCUUUUGAGGGCCUAUCUUUGUGUAUCUGCUUAGGCUGCAGGGCUCCGUGUUCUUUAUUUUUCUGUGGAUCAUGAAUCCACAGUGAAUUGGGAGAUUGGCUGAGAACCACUGCUAUCCAAACCACCUCCCCCUGCAAUAAAAAUCCAGUCUUCUAGAAAGAAGAGGAGCAUACCACACCCAAGAACACACAUCUCCCAGUGUUUUCUUGUUCUGCAGCCAACACAGGAAGGGACACUAGCAGUCCUGUCUGCAGAGCCCUUUGAGUUUACCUCACAUUUGGUUCUCAGCUGAGCAGGUGCUUCACGUUGUGAAAGUGGACUCCUACAUUGUCUUAGAAUUUUAUUAUGGGACAGAGAGUGUGAGAAGCAAUAAAGUCAGUUAGGGGUGAGGAUACAAUCUGGUGAGCAGCGAAGGGAUCCCACACCUUCAAGUGUGAAAAAGGUAAAGACAGAUGACACAGAAGGUGAUUCCAACUGCAUCCCCAUAUUUCUUUAAUUACACAAGCAGUUCACACCAUGGCUCCAUGUUCAGGUGAGAUUACACCAACGUGCACGGAACAUUUUGAGUGCAAACUGGGACCAUCCUGGCUAAUCCUGUUCUGAGUGCUUUCAUACCUAGAGCCAAAUGUGAGUGGGACGGAUUGAUGCUGGGUGGGAUGUGAUCUCCACACUUGCCUCUUCUUCUCCUGACUUCCAUAUUACUUGGUGGCCUGGGGUUUCCUGGGUCUGGCUCAACGUCUUCCACACUAAAUGUGUCCCACCUCAUGGAGGGCAACUCUCAUGGGAAUCCAUUGCAUGUUUUCUUAUAAACAUUGUCACAUUUUUAAUAACUGGGCAGUUGUGAUGCUUCUAAUACUGUAAAUUCCCAUUUCAGCUGCCAAGAAGGAAACUCUUGCUUUCCCACUUCUAUCGGAGGGCUGCAUGAUUCCUGUAGGAUGAGGAUCAGGCAGCCAUGUCUAGCUUUUGCCUGGCAAUCUAGGUUCUAUUUCAUUCUAUCUGUACAUCUGUUCUCAUUGUGGAGGGGGUCUUUCAUUGGGCUGCUGUUGGAUGGGACUGCCUCUCACCACAGAUCUUUUGGCUGCCAGGGAUUUCAAGGAUCAAAAGAGAUUUUAUAUAGCCUGGGUGUGCUCCAGGUUGUGGGUCGUGGUCUCAUUGUGGGGGCUGAGGUUGUUGCACUUUGCAGGAGGCUUUUGGGUCUUCUACAGGAAUCUUGAACAUUGCCUGGACUCCAGCACAAGUCAGGUUGUUCUCUCAGGUGACACUUGACUUUUCUUUGCUUUCAUGGGGCAUCCACAUUGUCCCACAGCAGCACUGCUGGACACACUUUUCAGGCUUACAAUCACCACAGAUGGCUUCUGAGAUACUCUCUCAACAUCAUCUGCACCUGUGAGAGACCAGUUCGAGGUGUGAGGAUAUUGCUCCACCUUGGGCUUGCCUUUGCCAUGAUUCCUGCCUUUCCAAGAGAAUCCCCACAUGGCCCAGGAUGAAAAAAGGCAGUGAGGUCAAUUGCCCACCCUUCUUUGCUGACAUCAGCAUUUGGGGUCUCAAGUAUGAUUCCAUCACCCAAAGACCCCUCAACAAUUCACCACACUAUAUUCCAAUCCCCAGAGUACCUGAUGCUUGCACACAGCCUCUUUUGGGAAUGGACUCAGAAGAGUAGUUUCCAGUGGCCACUCACAGUCUCUAAACGCCUUCUCCUCCAGUGAGACCUGACCACAGAGAUGGCCUGAAGGGACUCUAUGGUCGAUAACUUUAGGGUCCCGCAGUUGGUUAUGUAAGGCAGCCUUUCUUGAUACCAGACUAGCUCUGCCUGUACAAUUUUUCUCUGCUUUGGCAGGCUGACAGCUCUGACAGCCGGGCUCCCAAGGGUGCCUCAUGAAUGUGCAUGUGUUAGCAUCAGGGCACCGGGCCUGUACUGUGAGCUCUGGCUACCCUCACAGUGAAUGACCCUGUUGCCUACGGACAAGUCUCUGAGGCUUGCUGGUGAAAGAGACCUCCGUGGAGGUGAGUCAUAGGUGGACUCUCACCUGUCUUCUCUGUGAGAUCCAUGGGGCAGUCCCAUUAUCCAACAAGACGGCAGAUGGGAGCCAGCUUGAAGAAAGUAGAGCCCCAGGAAUAAACUGCAAAAUCCCUAAGUAUCCAAAAGAACCUACAGGAUGCCUCAGGCCUGCCUAGACAUUGUAGGGGUGAUUCCUUUUUCAUAUUACCUUACCGAUUUUUACGUAGAGCCUGUCAGUGUUCCUCAGGGUUUCUUCAUCCCAAGUGGUGUUUCAUGAAGAACCAUGCAGCCUCAGAAGCUGUCAGGGUGUGAGUUUCUAUAGGAGUGUUGGAGGUGUUGUAUGUCUGCAUGCUUGUGGCUUUGUAUGUGUGUGUGUCCCUCUAAGUGGAGUCUGCUUAAAGAAAUGUGACUAAUGCACUGGAGCGCUUCUUUUAUUUUGAGUCUGCCAAUCUUUUAGUUGCCUGUCUGUCUGUCUCUGCUUGGGCUUCGUGGCUCCAUGUUUAUUAUUUUUCUGUGGAUCAUGAAUCCUCAAUAAAUUGGGAGACUGGCUGAGACCCACAGGGGUCCAAAUAACCUCCCCUUGCAAAAAAAAAAAAAAAAA
rnacentral:lncRNA from 1 species